rnacentral:lncRNA from 1 species
CAUCUGCCUAUCUCAUAAUUAUUCCAGAUACCUCGUCGGCAUAUCAUAAGAGGAGGGCACACGCCAGCAAAUGAACCGGACCAACGGUUCCUGCUCGAAAGCUCUGGUGGCGUGCGCAGAGACUGCGUCAUUCAAGAAGAAAUGGAGCUCUCUCCUGUGAUGGCGGAAGACAGACAGGGUCAUGUUCUGGCUGAGGUUCAUGUUCUUUGAAUACACAUUUGAGAAUUGA